UAUGUCCGGCUCGUAUUUUCUCUCUCCAUCAAUUUUUCUGCCUCUCAAAUCUUAUAUGUGAAUGCGUUCAUGUCUCGAUCUCUUUCUCCCACUUUCUCUGAUGAGUUCUCUUUCCAGCAUUGCAUGACUGCAAACUAGAUCUAUUGGACAAAUGAGAAGGUAGCCAAUGUUUUCCGUCAAUCGCGCUCAGAUCCAGAUCCGAAUUU
rnacentral:lncRNA from 1 species